rnacentral:lncRNA from 1 species
CCACAAUAGACAACAGACCUCAAUCUUUGACACCGAGGCGGGCAGAUAUAGAAGAUGUAGACAUUAGUGACCCGCCUCCCCUGAUGGAUUCAGACAACGAUGAGAUGAGAGUAGCCGCCCCUCUUCCUCUCUCUCCUACACUCAAGUCUCCUGUACCUCCCACCAACUCAGCCUCUGAUGACUCAAUCUAACACACCCUGGUCACCACCGCCACCUCUCAGCCAUCGAGUGUGCUUGCUGUCUUCCGCAUUCUGAUCUUCAUAUGGAGAGGAACAACUUGAGUUACACCCAAGGAACUGCAUCCAGGGAGCCUCACCUGCUCCAGGGCCUCCCAAGAUCCUGGACCUUAAUGCUGUAAUGGAAUGAGAACUUUGCAGGGGUCUGGGGAAGCGGUGAGUGUAUUUUGCAUGUGGAAAGUAUGUAAAACACUUGUGGCCAGAGGAUGGAUUUUGGAAGUUUUAAAACAUGGCCCCCAAAUUAUUUAACUCACCUCUCAUCAAUCUGAUUUUGUGGCUGUUUGACUAAUAGGAUUCAGUACAGAAUGAAGAUUCUGGGUCAGUUUCUGGUCCCAGGCCUUGAGUGUUAAAGAAAAAAAUAUUCAAUGACACUUGUUAAAGAUGGUAAGGCAGACUUUAUUCAGGACCAUUACAGUAGGUAUAGGGCCCACUGCAAUGGGAUUUUGCAGUUGGGGAGAGAGAUUGGGCGCAACUCCAAACCCAGCAUGGUCAGUGGGAAUUUAGAACCAGAGCACGGUGGUCAGAGGAUGGAAAAUUACUACGAAGAAACAUCAAGGGUAAGGAAGGUUCUGGCUAAACCCACCUAACAGGAUUCUUGUUGAAGGCAGGCCAGGGUGAUCUGUUAUCACCUGGGGGAUGGUGGAGGCUAAAGAAUCUUAUCAGAUAUCGAGGUAGAGGGUUUCACAAGGAAGCACAGAGAUGAGCCUAGGGAGAGAGUUCAGGAGCCUGACUAAAAUUUGGCCAAGCAAGGAAUCUUUGUCAUAAAAAAUUGGCAGCUUCCACUUCCUAGUUUGGGACACUUGCUUUCCGGACCCAGCUGCCACGCUGUUAGGAAGUCAAGCCCACACGGAAAGGCCAUGUGUAGGCAUUCCAGUAGUCCCAACUCAGGUCCCAGUGGACGGCGAGCAUCAAGCAACAAACAUGUUGGUGCAGCAGCCCUCACAUGACUUUAGUCCCGGCCAUAUGACUGCAUCCGUAGGAGAGACCCUUUGGGAGAGACACCUAGCUACGCCCAGUGAACGCCAGACCAUGAGAUACAACAAUAACACGAUCGCCUGC